GAUGAACGCUGGCGGCGUGCCUAAUACAUGCAAGUCGAGCGAACGGACGAGAAGCUUGCUUCUCUGAUGUUAGCGGCGGACGGGUGAGUAACACGUGGAUAACCUACCUAUAAGACUGGGAUAACUUCGGGAAACCGGAGCUAAUACCGGAUGAUAUUUUGAACCGCAUGGUUCAAAAGUGAAAGACGGUCUUGCUGUCACUUAUAGAUGGAUCCGCGCUGCAUUAGCUAGUUGGUAAGGUAACGGCUUACCAAGGCAACGAUGCAUAGCCGACCUGAGAGGGUGAUCGGCCACACUGGAACUUAGACACGGUCCAGACUCCUACGGGAGGCAGCAGUAGGGAAUCUUCCGCAAUGGGCGAAAGCCUGACGGAGCAACGCCGCGUGAGUGAUGAAGGUCUUCGGAUCGUAAAACUCUGUUAUGAGGGAAGAACAUAUGUGUAAGUAACUGUGCACAUCUUGACGGUACCUAAUCAGAAAGCCACGGCUAACUACGUG
rnacentral:rRNA from 1 species